CGACGGAGUGUCACGAAGCGUAGCUGAAUGUGGGUGCUGUCGGGUUCUUUCUGUACAACUGGAUCAAAAUUAUGAAAGAGAUAUCAGAAAUGAUGACCAUCUCCAGAGGGUAAGGAAAGUUGCUGUUGUUGUAAACGAAGACAAAACUCAACAGAAACCCGCUGCUCAUCUGCAGAUGGACCCUGAUGCGCAGUAUGACAAAGGUGAGAU
rnacentral:lncRNA from 1 species